GUAGUCCACGCCUUAAACGAUGAGAACUAGACGUCGGUCAGCUUGGCUGAUCGGUGUCGUAGCUAACGCGCUAAGUUCUCCGCCUGGGGAGUACGGCCGCAAGGUUGAAACUCAAAGAAAUUGACGGGGGCCCGCACAAGCGGUGGAGUAUGUGGUUUAAUUCGAUGCAACGCGAAGAACCUUACCUGGUCUUGACAUGUCAGGAAUCCUGCAGAGAUGCGGGAGUGCCGAAAGGAGCCUGAACACAGGUGCUGCAUGGCUGUCGUCAGCUCGUGUCGUGAGAUGUUGGGUUAAGUCCCGCAACGAGCGCAACCCUUGUCCUUAGUUGCCAUCAUUCAGUUGGGCACUCUAAGGAGACUGCCGGUGACAAACCGGA
rnacentral:rRNA from 1 species